AAACGUUUUCUGCAUCCAGGAUUAGCCUAAAUCCUUUGGGAUAAGGUAUCAUGGAGGGUGAGAAUCCCGUUCAUGGUUAAUCUUAAGGAAGCUCUACGAUACGUUUUCCAAGAGUCAAGUUGUUUGGGAUUGCAGCUCAAAAUGGGAGGUAAAUUUCUCCUAAGGCUAAAUAUUGGCGAGAGACCGAUAGCGAACAAGUACCGUGAGGGAAAGAUGAAAAGAACUUUGAAAAGAGAGUUAAACAGUACGUGAAAUUGUUGAAAGGGAAACGAUUGAAGUCAGUCAUACCAACGGGAAAUCAACCUUUUGAGCUUGUCUCGUGGGUUUUGAAGAGUUUCAAAGCCUUCGGAUUCGCGGGAUUGGGAUCUCUUGGUGUACUUUUUCGUACGGUUAGUCAACAUCGGUUUUGAAUGUCAUAAAAUGACUGGAGGAAUGUAGCUUCGAUCUCGUAUUGAAGUGUUAUAGCCUUUGGUAGAUGUGAUGUUUGAGACCGAGGAUUGCAACGGAUACCCUUCAGGGCUACUCGUCUGAUCUCUGAUACGUUGCCUUGAUGCUGAAAGCUUG
rnacentral:rRNA from 1 species